rnacentral:rRNA from 1 species
GGCUGACGCCUGUCCAGCGCCGGAAGGUUAAGGGGAGGGGUUAGACGGAGAUUAUCGAAGUCGAAGCUCUGAACUGAAGCCCCGGUUAGCGACGGCCGUAACUAUAACGGUCCUAAGGUAGCGAAGCCCCUUGUCGGGUAAGUUCCGACCUGCAUGAAAGGCGUAACGACCUGGGCGCUGUCUCAACGAGGGACUCGGUGAAAUUGAAGUGCCCGUGAAGAUGCGGGCUACCCGCGACUGGACAAAAAGACCCCGUGGAGCUUUACUAUAGCUUGGCAUUGGAUUAAGGCUUAGCAUGUGUAGAAUAGGUGGGAGGCUGAGAAGCCCCGGCGUUAGCUGGGGUGGAGCCGCCGGUGAAAUACCACUCUUGUUGAGUUUUGAUUCUAACCCUUGAACAAGCAAGGAGACAGUGUCAGGUGGGUAGUUUGACUGGGGCGGUCGCCUCCUAAAAGGUAACGGAGGCGUCCAAAGGUCCCCUCAAGGUGGAUGGAAAUCACCUGUAGAGCGCAUUGGUAUAAGGGGGCUUGACUGUGAGACCUACAAGUCGAUCAGGGACGAAAGUCGGGCAAAGUGAUCCCACGGUGCUGUGUGGAAAGGCCGUGGCUUAACGGAUAAAAGCUACCCCGGGGAUAACAGGCUUAUUCCGCCCAAGAGUUCACAUCGACGGCGGAGUUUGGCACCUCGAUGUCGGCUCACCACAUCCUGGGGCUGGAGAAGGCCCCAAGGGUUGGUCUGUUCGCCCAUUAAAGUGGUACGUGAGCUGGGUUCAGACCGUCGUGAGACAGGUCGGUCUCUAUCCGUCGUGGGCGCAGGAGAUUUGAGAGGAGCUCUCCUUAGUACGAGAGGACCAGGAGGGACAGACCUCUGGUUUGCCAGUUGUCCCGCCAGGGGCAUUGCUGGGUAGCUAUGUCUGGAUCGGAUAAGCACUGAAAGCAUCUUAAGUGCGAAGCCGACCUCAAGAUGAGAUCUCCCACCGGUUAACCGGGUAAGACUGCAGCGAGACUAGCUGCUUGAUAGGCGGCAGGUGUAAGCGGAGCAAUCCGUUCAGCUAAGCCGUACUAAUCGGUCGAGGGCUUUUGCAC